rnacentral:lncRNA from 1 species
GGAGGGGGAGGAGGAGGGGCGCCGCGGCCUUCGGGCGGGGACCCGGGAAGCCCACCCCGCGCGCCCGGGCCUGGAGGGCUCUCACCGCGGUCCGGGCGCCGCGCUCGCCUCUCUCCCCGGGAAGCGCGGCGGCCGCGACCGUCCGCGCGUGGAGCCGGUUCUUCGAAGGGCUGGCGGGCCUCCUAGCCGGAAAAUGCCGGCGGAGGCCGUGGUGGGGGCGGGGAGGAGCCACCGCCGCGCCCCAGACAUCGCAGGAAUUCCGGACGCUGCGCCGGGCCCGGCGGCCCUGAGGCUGGCACCUGGCUCCGGUCGGGCCGCCCAGGUUUUGUGGCGCCCGAGACCAGCGUUGGGAAAUUAGGCUGGAGCCAUCAUGAAAACUUUUUCAGGCAGUGCACGCUCGCCUGUGCCUGCCCAUCUGCUUCCAACCUCUCCCCACCUUUCGGGGCGCAGCCUGCCUGCUCCAUCGGAAUGCCCUUUAGAUGAAUCCCCUUGUGCUGUUACUGUGUCCUUGUCGUCCAGCUCUCUGGUUUUCUUUUCUAUACACCUUCUCGGUUUCCAGAGUCUUAAUUCGCCUGCUUGUCCUUAACCAUCAAAACUCUUUAUUAAUAUCCUGGCUUUCGCUGAUUUUUAUUCUCCCUACCCCUUCUCCCUAGCUAUGUAUUGCUGGGUGAGCUCCCGAGGCUUGAAAACCCAAGUAUGCUGUGCUGGCUGCGUUGUAAUCGGUAGAGAGCCACCAGCUAAAAAUUGUAUUUUGUACCAACUCUAAUGGCAUUUAAUAAAUGUAUACCUAAAAAGAGUGUGUGUGUAUAUAUAUACUAUUUUACAGCAGAGUCACUAAUUGAUUUCUAAGCUUGAUUUUGCCACCUUGUGAUAGUGUUCGUAACCAAUUUUUUUCAUAAAUUUCACAAAUGUGACAACAGAUAAAAUCUUAUAAACAAUAUUAGAUGUAAAAAACUCGCAGUAAAUGCCGCUGUCUAUGCUACAUGACUCAAAUACACCUGCUUUAAAUGAUUUCCAGCAAAAAUGUCCUUGCUACAGUUACUAGGACAUUGAUAUACUAAGGUAACCAUUCAGAUUAGCACAGACUUUGAAAGAAAUCCGACUAAACCGAAAAUAAAUUAGUCAAAAAGUAAUUACUAAGGUAACCAUUCAGAUUAGCACAGACUUGGAAGAAACCUGACUAAACCGAAAAUAAAUUGGUCAAAAAGUGGUCGGGCAAAUAGCUUGCUUUCAGGCUGAUCUCCAUGAUAUAAAAAAGUUGCCGUAGCUGGCAAAAGUUCUUUCGGAUUAUUGUUUCAAAAUUGCCCUGCUAGUGUGAUUAAGGUCCACGGUCAACUUAAUUGUUUUGAAGAAAGAGGAAGUGGCCCAGAGCGCCCCUUAUUCAGAGGAGAGGUCCCUACCUGGUUCCUCCCAAGCUCAAGCUUCCACCUAUACAACCAACUUCUUCCUCUCUGCUUGUGGGUCUCCUUCCUGCCCCCACCCCAUCCCACCCCAUUCACCAAGCUUUCGCUUCUAUCA